rnacentral:lncRNA from 1 species
CGCGAGGAGAGCCCCUUACUGUCCGGGUGAGUUAUUUUGAUAUUUAGGGUAAGGAAAAAAAAAAUUCCUUUCAGGUUCUCCGACGGGGGAGCUUUUUAACCUCUUUCCGGCGAGGUGGGAGCUCAUCUUCAUGGUCGAAUUUAAAAGAACAAUGGAAGCCUGACUACGUUUAAACAAAAAUAAAACUUGUUUUUUUUUUCUUUUGGGUGUUGGCUUUUAACUCUUUCAAAGCCGAUUUUGAAAACGGCUGCAGUGUUACAGAUGAGAAGGUAACUUACAAGAUUAAAAUUAAAUUUGGUUGAUGAUGGUUCUGAACAAAUACAGCUCUUUAAUUUGAGGUAUGCCAUUUUGAAGACUGAGACCCAUGGAGUUUUAUCCUUGAAUAUAAAGGAAAUAGUUGCAAAAGCCUCUAUUUUAUAUAGCAAGUAAGUAAAUGUUUUAGCCAACAUCUUAAAUUUAAUAGCUACCAAUAUUUGAGUAGGAAAAUGUCACUAAAGUUUGUCAGUGAAACAUAAAAUGUAGA